rnacentral:ncRNA from 14 species
GGCAUCGUAUAGUGGCUAUUACCUCAGCCUUCCAAGCUGAUGACGCGGGUUCGAUUCCCGCUGCCC